AAAACAACAUUCGGAAAAAUGAUGUGUAAAAAAUGAAUGGGUGUCGGAGUGAUUAGUGUUUAUGAAUCUUUGUUUCAAUCCUUGAGGCAGACAAAAAAAUACUUGAAUUAUCACUCGAGAAAAACAACUUUCGGAAAAUUGAUAUGUAAAAAUGAGUGAGUGUCGGAAUGAUCAAUGUUUAUGGAUCUUUUUUUAAUUAUUUAGAAGCUUGAGGAAGACAAAAAAUAAAAUAAAAUAAAAUAAAUCACUCUGGAAAACAAUCUCCGGAAAACUAAAAUGUACAGAAGAACGAGUGUCAAAAUUAUUAAAGUUUAUGGAUUUUAAUGAUUUUGACUCUUGAGGUAGGCGCUAAAGUAUUCAAAUCAACACUUGAAUCGAGAAAAAAAAAACCUUCCAGAAAACUGAAAAGUAAAAAUUAACGAGUGUCGGAAUAAUUAAUGCUUAUGGACCUUUUCUUAAUUAUUUUGAUCCUUGAGGUAGGUGGUAAAGUAUUCAAAUUAUAACUUGUAUCAAUAAAAACAAGUGGAGUAGAGGAGGAGGAGGAGGAGGAGGAGGUUAAUGAAAAAGGUCAGGAGGGAGGGAAAAAAUUAAUAGGAAGGAAAGAAAGGAGGGAGAGAUGGAGGGAAAAGAAAAGACAAAUGGAGAGGAAUGAAGAAAAGGAGGAAGAGAAGGAGGAGGAGGAGGGAAAUAAAAAGAGAUCAGAAGGGAAGGAAAGAAUGAACAGGGAGAAGAGGAAGGAGGGAAGAGAUAGACGGAUGAAAGGAAGAGAUGAAUGGAGAGGAAUAGAGAGAAGGACGAAGA